AGUUCUGUAAACAAAUUCUCAACUGCACCAGAAGGCCUGACAGUUAAGAGAACCCAGUGAAGAAACCUUUUGCAGAGAGAGAAAAGAACCCUUUUGAAUGUGAUCAAUCACGCUGAUUUAUUUGGAUGAUUUCUCUUCUGGAUUUCCUUAAACCAGGGAAAACCCAGGGACAGCAAUUGCUAUAAUUGAUGCAAACGAUCCCAGCCACACUCCCUGAUCCUGGUUCUGAAACUCAGAGAUGCAGCUGACCAGACUGAUGUGGCCAGCCUCACUCUGAAGGAUCCUGCAGCAGACAAAUUGCUGGAAUGUGUUCAGACGGAAUCCAGCUGCUACAACCGUCACACAAACUUCCUGAAAUAGAGGACAAAAGAGACAGAGGUCUUGCUAUGUUGCCCAGGCUGGUCUCAAGCUCCUGGCCUCAAGCGAUUCUCCUUCCUCAGCCUCCAAAAGUGCUGGGAUUACAGGUGCAACAGUGACCCGUGACGCAGUAGGGAGGGCUGUUUUCCAUGCCCAGUGAGGCCUGCUCAGCUCCCAUUAGGCCUUUAUGGAUGGCCUGCCUCCCAGCUGGUACCUGGUCCCGUCACAGUCCCAGGACUCUAGACCUCGAGGCAGCCAGGUGGGUGCUACAGAUGGUGACCUCUCGGUGGCACAGCCUGGCGCUGCAGCAGAAUGCAGGGUUGGGGGCGGGGUGAAGAAUGGAGUCUGGAUUGUGCCAAAACAGGAGUUUCUAUGUCUGGUCCUGCCACCGACUGCACCUGCAUUGCUGCGUGACCUUGACAGCUACUCCUUCCACACCUGAACGUCCUCAUCUGGAAACUGGACUUGCCUCCUAGGGUUCCUGCAAAUAUAAAAUGAGCUAAUGCCUUUGAGGUGUUUGCUAUUGUCCUGGCACUUGGCAAACACAUGAUAAAUAUUAGCAAUCACUUGCGAGGGGGUGUGGGGUUCGGGGGAGCUUUGCCCCUCCUCCCCCUCUCCAGGGCUGAGCAGCAGUGAAGAGCUUUCUGCAUAAGAGAGAGCAAGAGAGAUAAAUAAACCCACAUCUUCCUCUGAAAGAGGCUCCUGCUGGCUGGCUGCUCACCUGACCAAGUCUCCCUCCCAGCCUGUCUUCACUCUUUGGUCCACCCUCAAGGGAACCAGGUCACACAGCCUCAGCACUUCCUGCAUGCCAGUCUCUAGCUGGUGCCUUCCACUGGCUGAACCCCAUAAGAAACUAGAGGGCGGCCGGGUGCCGUGGUUCAUUCCUGUAAUCCCAGCGCUUUGGGAGGCCAAGAGUUCAAGUCCAGCCUGGGCAACAUGGUGAAACUCUGUCUCUACAAAAAAUACAAAAAUUAGCAGGGUGUGCUGGUGCUGAGCUUGGCAGGUGGAGGUUGCAGUGAGCUGAGAUGGUGCCACUGCACUCCAGCCUGGGCAACAGAGCGAGACUCCGCCUCAAAAAAAAGGAAAAGAAAAAGAAAAAAAAAAAAAAGAAAGAAACCAGGGCCAGGCACGGUGGCUCACACCUGUAAUCCCAGCACUUUGGGAGGCCCAGGUGGGUGGAUCAUCUGAGGUCAGGAGUUCGAGACCAGCCUGGCCAACAUGGUGAAACCCCAUCUCUACUAAAAAUACAAAAAGUAACUGGGCAUGGUGGUGCGCACCUGUAGUCCCAAUUACUCGGGAAGCUGAGGCAGGUGAAUCACUUGAACCUGGGAGAUGGAGGUUGCAGUGAGUUGAGAUCACACCACUGCACUCCAGCCCAGGAGAGAGAGUGAGACUCCAUCUCAAAAAAAAAAAAAAGAAAGAAAGAAAGAAAGAAACUAGAGGGCAAGGGAUGCAUUGAUGUAGCUGGUAUGCCCCAGCCUCUCUGGGCGUAGUGCAGGGUGAAGAAGGGUGGGGACAGCACUGGAGGGGCAUAGCACCUGUCCUCUGAUCCAGAUGACAGAGAAAGAAGUCACAGUCUAAGGGUCAGAAAACCUGAGCCCUACCCCCAGGGUUUCCCCUGACUGAUUGCGUGAAUGUGGGCAAGCCCCUGGUCUGCUCUGAGCCUUCGUUUUCCCAUCUAGAAAAUGACAAAGUUGGAGCAGUGACAUCCAAGUUCCCUCCAAACCUAACACACUGUCUUUUACUGACACUGCUGCAGAUGAAGUAACAAGGCAAAACUAUGUUUGCCAUUAGCUCUCAGGGAAAUGCAAAUGAAACCUACAAUGAGACACCACUUCACACCCACUAGGAUGCAUCAAAAGACAGCUACAUAUCAAAAAGACAGAUCAUAAUGUGUUGAUGAGGAUGUGGAGGCACUGGAGCCCUUGUGUGCUGCUGGUGAGAAUGUUAACUGGGGCAGACACUUAACAGUGGCUGGAAAAUUGUCUAGCAGUUCCUCAAAAGGCUAAACAGAGUUACCACAUGACCCUGCCAUUCCACCGCUGCAUAUAUUUCCAAGAGAAAUGAAAACAUAUGUACACACAAAAACUUGCACACAAAUGCUCAUAGCAGCAUCCAUAAUGCAUUCCAGAUAAACAAGAUCGACAGGAUGGAAUGCUAUUAGACAACAAAGGAAAUAAAAUGCAACAUGCAUAAACCUUGAAGACAUUAUGCUACACGAAAAAAGUCAGUGGGCAAAGGGCUAAUAUCCAGAAUCUACAAAUAAACAAAUGUACAAGAAAAAAAUCAAACAACCCCAUCAAAAAGUGGGCAAAGGAUAUGGGCAGACACUUCUCAAAAGAAGACAUUUAUGCAGCCAACAGACACAUGAAAAAAUGCUCAUCAUCACUGGCCAUCAGAGAGGUGCAAGUCAAAACCACAAUGAGAUACCAUCUCACACCAGUUAGAAUGGCAAACAUUAAAAAGUCAGGAAACAACAGGUGCUGGAGAGGAUGUGGAGAAAUAGGAACACUUUUACACUGUUGGUGGGACUGUAAACUAGUUCAACCAUUGUGGAAGACAGUGUGGCGAUUCCUCAAGGAUCUAGAACUAGAAAUACCAUUUGACCCAGCCAUCCCAUUACUGGGUACAUACCCAGAGGAUUAUAAAUCAUGCUGCUAUAAAGACACAUACACUUGUAUGUUUAUUGCGGCACUAUUCACAAUAGCGAAGACUUGGAACCAAACCAAAUGUCCAUCAAUGAUAGACUGGAUUAAGAAAAUGUGUCUCAUAUACACCAUGGAACACUAUGCAGCCAUAAAAAGGGGUGAGUUCAUGUUCUUUGUAGGGACAUGGAUGAAGCUGGAAAUCAUCAUCUUGACCAAACUGUCGCAAGGACAGAAAACCAAACACCGCAUGUUCUCACUCAUAGGUGGGAAUUGAACAAUAAGAACAUUUGGACACAGUGGGGAACAUCACACACCAGGGCCUGUUGUGGGGUCGGGGGAGCGGGGAGGGAUAGCAUUAGGAGAUAUACCUAAUGUAAAUGAUGACUUAAUGGGUGCAGCACACCAACAUGGCACGUGUAUAUAUAUGUAACAAACCUGCACAUUGUGCACAUGUACCCUAGAACUUAAAGUAUAAUCAAAAAAAAAAAAAAGAAAAGAAAAAAGUCAGUAGGAAAAGGCCACACAUUGUAUGUGUGACCUGCCUACUUCCCUCUCCCUGAUGCUUCCUCUCUGGUCAGUUCCUCUCUUUGGGUUCUGGUCAUUAUUUUUUUCCCUUUGUCCCUCAGGACUAGGGGUGGUAACUGCUCCUUCUGUUUCUUACCCCAGGGAACUGCAUCCAUUACUGAUUGCCAUAAACAUUUUCCUCCGCUUCGUGAAUAGUUCUUGAUUAAACUUUCCUCCUGUUUCCCAACUUGUGCAUCUGUAUCUUGAUGCAGUGACUUACUCUCCAUCCAUCCAUCCAUCCAUCCAUUCAUCCAUCCUUCCAUCAUCCAUCCACCCAUCCACCCAUCCACCCAUCCACCUAUUCAUCCAUCCACUCAUCCAUCUAACCAUCCAUCCAUCCAUCCAUCCAUCCAUCCAUCCAUCCAUUCAUCCAUCCAUCCAUCCACCUAUCCACCUAUUCAUCCAUCCACUCAUCCAUCUAUCCAUCCAUUCAUCCAUCCAUCCACCCAUCCACCUAUUCAUCCAUCUACUCAUCCAUCUAUCCAUCCAUCUAUCCAACCUCACACCAUGCAUACCCCCAUCCAUCCAUCCACCCAAUCACCCAUCCACCUAUUCAUCCAUUCACUCAUCGACCUAUCUAUCCAUCCAUCCAUCCAUCCUUCCACCCUCCAACUAGUGCCCCAUCCAUCCAUGCACCCAUCCAUUCACUCUUUCAUUCAGGAGCACAGUGCAGAGUUCAUUCUGGAUGCUCAGUAUAUUCAGCAAACACUGAGUCCGUACUGCUCAGCAGGUGGCCAGUGCUAGGCCCUAUGCCAGGAAUAUAGGUAAUUAAACACAGCCUCUGUUCUCCAGAAGUUGGUGAUACAGUCUAGGGAUAAAAAUGAAAUAUACAUAUCUCGUGUCCUGUCUAGUGAGCCAAAAAAAAAAGAAGGAAAAGAAAAGAAAAGAAAAAGCCUUAGCAAUUACUUAGCAAGGUUAGCAAUUACUUAGCAAGAUUUGGAGACUUAGAGGGUACAUUAUGGGUUCUAUUAUUUUUAAGUUUUGAAGCAGUUUGGGAGCGUAUGAUGCUUCACCCUCCACAGGCUCCAAAAACCACCAAGAACUGAGCCUGCUAUGAGCUGUCACUAGGUAGGGACCUAGCCUACUAUUCUUGUAUAUCUGGGGCCCAGCACAUAGUAGGUGCUCUGGGAAGUCAGCAGAAUUUAAUGAACUCUGACUUGAAGACAAGGCUCUACAAAAACAGAGAUGUAGGGAACAGUCUGUAUUCAAAAUGUUAUAGUAACAAGCAGUCAGCCAGACUGCAUGGUGGAAAGACUGCUCCGCCUCUCUCUCUUCUCCAUCUCUAUGGUGACUGUUAACGGAACUGGUCAAGGUCGAACAUGGUCAACCAAGCAGCAAUAUCCCAGGGACUCCGGCAGCUGCAGCUUAGGUUUAUACCACUGCUUGGAGGUCUUCUGUAUUUCAGAUUAUGAAUAUUUGUGCAUUAUAUGAGAGUCUUUUUUGUUAUUGCACAAAUAUGAUAAAGUCAUUAAAUACAUUUUUAAGAAAGAAAAAUAAACCAUCCCUUUGCC
rnacentral:lncRNA from 1 species